rnacentral:siRNA from 1 species
UUGGGAUGUUGUGAAUAUAUGCA